AAGCGUUGCUCGGAAUUAUUGGGCGUAAAGGGUAGGUAGGUGGUCUCAUUUGUCUGGGGUGAAAGCCUUGAGCUUAACUCAAGAAGUGCCCCGGAAACGGUGAGACUGGAGUCCUGGAGAGGGUCGUGGAAUUCCCGGUGUAGCGGUGAAAUGCGUAGAGAUCGGGAGGAACACCAGUGGCGAAGGCGACUAUCUGGGCUGCAACUGACGCUGAGGCGCGAAGGCUAGGGUAGCAAACAGG
rnacentral:rRNA from 1 species